UACGGGAGGCAGCAGUGGGGAAUAUUGGACAAUGGGCGCAAGCCUGAUCCAGCAAUGCCGCGUGUGUGAAGAAGGCCUUCGGGUUGUAAAGCACUUUUAUCAGGAGCGAAAUACUAUCGGUUAAUAACCGGUGGGGCUGACGGUACCUGAGGAAUAAGCACCGGCUAACUUCGUGCCAGCAGCCGCGGUAAU
rnacentral:rRNA from 1 species